GACGAACGCUGGCGGCGUGCUUAACACAUGCAAGACGAACGGUAAGGCCCUUCGGGGUACACGAGUGGCGAACGGGUGAGUAACACGUGGGCGAUCUACCCUGCACUUCGGGAUAAGCCUGGGAAACUGGGUCUAAUACCGGAUAGGACCACUGCCUGCAUGGGUGGCGGUGGAAAGCUUUUGCGGUGUGGGAUGGGCCCGCGGGCUAUCAGCUUGGUGGUGGGGUAAUGGCCGACCAAGGCGACGACGGGUAGCCGGCCUGAGAGGGUGACCGGCCACACUGGGACUGAGAUACGGCCCAGACUCCUACGGGAGGCAGCAGUGGGGAAUAUUGCACAAUGGGCGCAAGCCGGAUGCAGCGACGCCGCGUGAGGGUUGACAGCCUUCGGGUUGUAAACCUCUUUCAGCACCGACGAAGCGCAAGUGACGGUAGGUGCAGAAGAAGGACCGGCCAACUACGUGCCAGCCGCCGCCGUAA
rnacentral:rRNA from 1 species